GUUAAGCGACUAAGCGUACACGGUGGAUGCCCUGGCAGUCAGAGGCGAUGAAGGACGUGCUAAUCUGCGAUAAGCGUCGGUAAGGUGAUAUGAACCGUUAUAACCGGCGAUUUCCGAAUGGGGAAACCCAGUGUGAUUCGUCACACUAUCAUUAACUGAAUCCAUAGGUUAAUGAGGCGAACCGGGGGAACUGAAACAUCUAAGUACCCCGAGGAAAAGAAAUCAACCGAGAUUCCCCCAGUAGCGGCGAGCGAACGGGGAGCAGCCCAGAGCCUGAAUCAGUGUGUGUGUUAGUGGAAGCGUCUGGAAAGGCGCGCGAUACAGGGUGACAGCCCCGUACACAAAAAUGCACAUGCUGUGAGCUCGAUGAGUAGGGCGGGACACGUGGUAUCCUGUCUGAAUAUGGGGGGACCAUCCUCCAAGGCUAAAUACUCCUGACUGACCGAUAGUGAACCAGUACCGUGAGGGAAAGGCGAAAAGAACCCCGGCGAGGGGAGUGAAAAAGAACCUGAAACCGUGUACGUACAAGCAGUGGGAGCACAGAGCAAUCUGUGUGACUGCGUACCUUUUGUAUAAUGGGUCAGCGACUUAUAUUCUGUAGCAAGGUUAACCGAAUAGGGGAGCCGAAGGGAAACCGAGUCUUAACUGGGCGUUAAGUUGCAGGGUAUAGACCCGAAACCCGGUGAUCUAGCCAUGGGCAGGUUGAAGGUUGGGUAACACUAACUGGAGGACCGAACCGACUAAUGUUGAAAAAUUAGCGGAUGACUUGUGGCUGGGGGUGAAAGGCCAAUCAAACCGGGAGAUAGCUGGUUCUCCCCGAAA
rnacentral:rRNA from 1 species